GACGUAGGAUGCGAGCGUUGUCCGGAUUUAUUGGGCGUAAAGAGUUCGUAGGCGGUUUGUUAAGUCUGAUGUAAAAGACUGGGGCUCAACCUCGGGACUGCAUUGGAUACUGGCAGACUGGAGUACGGUAGAGGCAAGUGGAAUUCCCAGUGUAGCGGUGAAAUGCGUAGAUAUUGGGAAGAACACCGGUGGCGCAAGCGACUUGCUGGGCCGUAACUGACGCUGAGGAACGAAAGCUAGGGUAGCGAAUGGGG
rnacentral:rRNA from 1 species